CUAAGAAUAUUCCGCAAUGGGGGAACCCUGACGGAGCGACGCCGCGUGGACGGUGAAGGCCGGAAGGUUGUAAAGUCCUUUUAUGGCAGAGGAAUAAGCGGGGGAGUGGAAAGCCCUCGCGGUGACUGUAGGCCAUGAAUAAGCAUCGGCUAACUCCGUGCCAGCAGCCGCGGUAAUACGGAGGAUGCAAGCGUUAUCCGGAUUUAUUGGGUUUAAAGGGUGCGUAGGCUGUUCUGCAAGUCAGCGGUGAAAGCCCGGGGCUCAACCCCGGAAAUGCCGUUGAUACUGCGGGGCUGGAAUACGGAUGCCGUGGGAGGAAUGAGUAGUGUAGCGGUGAAAUGCAUAGAUAUUACUCAGAACACCGAUUGCGAAGGCAUCUCACGAAUCCGUUAUUGACGCUGAGGCACGAAAGCGUGGGGAUCAAACAGGAUUAGAUACCCUGGUAGU
rnacentral:rRNA from 1 species